UCAUAUUGCUUGACAGCACCCGCCAAACAAGCUAUACUAAAAAAGUCGCAUAUACGGAUUUUGGCGGGCGCUUCUAUGGCGGCUUUUCUUUCCGGUGAUGAAGUUUGGGUCUUGCGCAAUGGACAUCUGCGAACCGUGUCAGGGUGGGAACACAGCAGCACUAAGCAGAACCGUCCAUGUGCCGCGAGGGUGCCUGGCGGAGCCGGUGGGAGAGUAUCGCGUAGAAGUGUCCACCAAAAACCGGAUAUGC
rnacentral:SRP_RNA from 1 species